UGGGGAAUUUUGGACAAUGGGCGAAAGCCUGAUCCAGCAAUGCCGCGUGUGUGAAGAAGGCCUUCGGGUUGUAAAGCACUUUUGUCCGGAAAGAAAUCCUCUGGGUUAAUACCUCGGGGGGAUGACGGUACCGGAAGAAUAAGCACCGGCUAACUACGUGCCAGCAGCCGCGGUAAUACGUAGGGUGCAAGCGUUAAUCGGAAUUACUGGGCGUAAAGCGUGCGCAGGCGGUUUUGUAAGACGGAUGUGAAAUCCCCGGGCUUAACCUGGGAACUGCAUUCGUGACUGCAAGGCUAGAGUAUGGCAGAGGGGGGUAGAAUUCCACGUGUAGCAGUGAAAUGCGUAGAGAUGUGGAGGAAUACCGAUGGCGAAGGCAGCCCCCUGGGCCAAUACUGACGCUCAUGCACGAAAGCGUGGGGAGCAAACAGGAUUAGAUACCCUGGUAGUCCACGCCCUAAAACGAUGUCAACUAGUUGUUGGGGAUUCAUUUCCUUAGUAACGUA
rnacentral:rRNA from 1 species